rnacentral:rRNA from 1 species
GACGAACGCUUGCGCCGUGCUUAACACAUGCAAGUCGAACGAUGAAGCCGGAGCUUGCUCUGGUGAAUUAGUGGCGAACGGGUGAGUAACACGUGAGUAACCUGCCCUUGACUCUGGGAUAACUGCGGGAAACUGUAGCUAAUACCGGAUACGACCCUCGGAGGCAUCUCCUGGGGGUGGAAAGAAUUUCGGUCAAGGAUGGACUCGCGGCCUAUCAGCUAGUUGGUGAGGUAAAGGCUCACCAAGGCGACGACGGGUAGCCGGCCUGAGAGGGUGACCGGCCACACUGGGACUGAGACACGGCCCAGACUCCUACGGGAGGCAGCAGUGGGGAAUAUUGCACAAUGGGCGCAAGCCUGAUGCAGCAACGCCGCGUGAGGGAUGACGGCCUUCGGGUUGUAAACCUCUUUUAGCAGGGAAGAAGCGAAAGUGACGGUACCUGCAGAAAAAGCACCGGCUAACUACGUGCCAGCAGCCGCCGUAA